rnacentral:lncRNA from 1 species
GCCAGUUCUUCCAAUGUGAGGAUGUACAUUAACAUUUUGUAUACAACUUAAUUUGUUUUCCUCUUGACCUUAGCUUUUGAAUACAAUAUAAUUCCCUUCCAAACCCCUCCAGACUUUAUCCAAAGUGGAGGCAACUGGACUACUAGACACCAGAGAAAGAGAGUCAGAACUUCAUGUGAGAUCAAGGGAUGGAGCAGGAGGAGAUUACUUCAGUUCUUGGAAUGAAUUGUUCUUUCAGACAAGAAGCACACCUUAAACUCAAAUCGAGAAAAAUAUUUCCUAUAGAAGAAACUCAUAAACUCCAUAUUCUCUUGACAAUCCAUCUGGGCCACCCACCUGAUCAUGAUUGCCUACACAGUGGCAGAAUGAUGGCAUUUAGAAGCCCCCCGUACAUAGUUGUAUAUUCUUCAUUGUGGGUCCUUCUAGUUGUGGCAUGUGGGAUGUUGCCUCAGCGUGGUUUGAUGAGCAGUGCCAUGUCCGCGCCCAGGAUUCGAACCAACGAAACACUGGGCCGCCUGCAGUGGAGCUUGCGAACUUAACCACUCGGCCAUGGGGACAGCCCCUCAACCCUUUUAUUUUAACAAUUUCACCUGAUGAGUGAGAUGGUUGUCUUCAGAGCCAUGCAGUCAUUUGUGUCAAAAAUAGGAAUAGUUUUCAAAUUCUUAUUCCCAGUCAAGAACCACCUACCACACCACUGGUAUCUGUCAUCUCAAUGGAGCUAAUGAAGAUUUGGUCAGCUUCUAUAUGACAUCUUUUGGGUGACAGAAGACCUGGCUUUUUCUUGUUCAUUAAGCUACUAUGCAGUAUCAAUAUGUAGAAGCUUAACUUUUUGGAAUUAUGUAACUAUAGAACAAGAAAGCAUAAGUGAAAAGUUACUAGAAGUUGGAAAAAAAGCAAGGAGAAAGAGCAUCAUUAAAUAGUAUACUUUGGUUUUCUUUUAUUUUGUCACGGUGUUUGAAAUAUUUUCAAUGUUUAUUCUCUAAUC